rnacentral:rRNA from 14 species
CAAUCUUAACGAUGGAUGUCUUGGUUCCUAUAGCGAUGAAGGCCGCAGCAAAGUGCGAUAUGCAAUGAAAAAUGCAAUUACUGUGAAUCAUCAGAAUGCUGAAUGUAAACUAUACCAUAUUUACCCUUAUGGGCAAAUUAACGUGGUAUUCCUACAGAAA